UACGGAGGGUGCAAACGUUGCUCGGAAUCAUUGGGCGUAAAGCGCACGUAGGCGGUCCAGCAAGUCGGAUGUGAAAUCCCUCGGCUCAACCGAGGAAGUGCAUUCGAAACUGCUGGACUUGAAUAUGGAAGAGGGUCGCGGAAUUCCCGGUGUAGAGGUGAAAUUCGUAGAUAUCGGGAGGAACACCAGUGGCGAAGGCGGCAUCCUGGCCCUGUCCUGACGCUCAGGGGCGAAAGCGUGGGGAGCAAACCGG
rnacentral:rRNA from 1 species